rnacentral:rRNA from 1 species
AGCAGCCGCGGCAAUUCCAGCUCCAAUAGCGUAUAUUAAAGUUGUUGCAGUUAAAAAGCUCGUAGUUGAAUUUCGGGGUCAGUAGGUUGGUCGUGCCCCCGGUACGUACUGGUCUCACUGAUUCCUCCUUCCUGAAGAACCGUAAUGCCAUUAAUUUGGUGUUGCGGGGAAUCAGGACUGUUACUUUGAAAAAUUAGAGUGUUUAAAGCAGGCUCGCGCUUGAAUACAUUAGCAUGGAAUAAUGAAAUAGGACGUUUGAUCCUAUUUUGUUGGUUUCUAGGAUUGACGUAAUGAUUAAUAGGGAUAGUUGGGGGCAUUAGUAUUCAAUUGUCAGAGGUGAAAUUCUUGGAUUUAUUGAAGACUAA